UACUGCUUCCAGUUUCUUAUUAUCAUACAACCAAGUCAGAAAGGAAGAAGGGAGAAGAGGGUGGUGUUGCAUCACUGUUAGCUGGUGGAGCAAUUUGGUUAAUUUCAAUAAAGAAUGAAACUCUGGCAUGCUAACUAGUUAUGCAACCCAAGAGCAGUUUGCGUCCUCCAACUUUUUAAAGGGACAAGUGGCAUUCAGCCACCCGAGAUUGAGCAAUAUCAGGUCUGUGAUGCCCUCAGAUGUCCCAG
rnacentral:ncRNA from 1 species